CAGUCGCCGCGGGAAUACGGAGGGUGCAAGCGUUAAUCGGAAUUACUGGGCGUAAAGCGCACGCAGGCGGUCUGUCAAAUCAGAUGUGAAAUCCCCGGGCUUAACCUGGGAACUGCAUUUGAAACUGGCAGGCUAGAGUCUUGUAGAGGGGGGUAGAAUUCCAGGUGUAGCGGUGAAAUGCGUAGAGAUCUGGAGGAAUACCGGUGGCGAAGGCGGCCCCCUGGACAAAGACUGACGCUCAGGUGCGAAAGCGUGGGGAGCAAACAGGAUUAGAUACCCCUGUAGUCCCUGUCUCUUAUAC
rnacentral:rRNA from 1 species